rnacentral:rRNA from 1 species
UACAGAGGUGACUAACGUUGUCCGGAAUUAUUGGGCGUAAAGGGCGCGUAGGUGGUUGGGUAAGUCAGGUGUGAAAGCCCCGGGCUUAACCUGGGAAUUGCAUUUGAAACUGUAUUUCUAGAGUAGAGUAGAGGGCAGUGGAAUUUCCGGUGUAGCGGUGAAAUGCGUAGAUAUCGGAAGGAACACCAGUGGCGAAGGCGGCUGCCUGGACUCUAACUGACACUGAGGCGCGAAAGCGUGGGGAG